rnacentral:rRNA from 1 species
GACGAACGCUGGCGGCGUGCUUAACACAUGCAAGUCGAACGAUGAUGCGCAGCUUGCUGGGUGGAUUAGUGGCGAACGGGUGAGUAACACGUGAGUAACCUGCCCCUGACUCUGGGAUAAGCGAUGGAAACGACGUCUAAUACUGGAUAUGACUGCCGGCCGAACGGUCUGGCGGUGGAAAGAUAUUUGGGUUGGGGAUGGACUCGCGGACUAUCAGCUUGUUGGUGAGGUAAUGGCUGACCAAGGCGACGACGGGUAGCCGGCCUGAGAGGGGGACCGGGCCCACUGGGACGGAGACACGGGCCAGAUUCCUACGGGAGGCAGCAGUGGGGAAUAUUGCACCAUGGGGGAAAGCCGGAUGCAGGAACGCCGCGUGAGGGAUGGCGACCUUCGGGUUGUAAACCUCUUUUAGUAUGGAAGAAGCGUAAGUGACGGUACCUGCAGAAAAAGCACCGGCUAACUACGUGCCAGCCGCCGCCGUAAUAC